CAGCCGCGGUAAUACGAGGGGGGCAAGCGUUGUUCGGAAUUAUUGGGCGUAAAGGGCGCGUAGGCGGUCUGACAAGUCUGAUGUGAAAUCUCUGGGCUCAACCCAGAGUCUGCAUUAGAAACUGUCGGGCUUGAGUAUGGGAGAGGUGCGUGGAAUUUCCGGUGUAGCGGUGAAAUGCGUAGAUAUCGGAAGGAACACCUGUGGCGAAAGCGGCGCACUGGACCAUAACUGACGCUGAGGCGCGAAAGCUAGGGGAGCAAACAGGAUUAGAUACCCUGGUAGUCCUAGCCCUAAACGAUGAUUGCUUGAUGUGGCAGGUACCCAAUCCUGCCGUGUCGCAGCUAACGCGUUAA
rnacentral:rRNA from 1 species